rnacentral:rRNA from 1 species
AUUGAACGCUGGCGGCGUGCCUAACACAUGCAAGUCGAGCGGUAACAGGUGUAGCAAUACAUGCUGACGAGCGGCGGACGGGUGAGUAACGCUUGGGAAUCUGCCUGUUAGUGGGGGACAACCCGGGAAACGUCGGGCUAAUACCGCAUACGCACUACGGUGGAAAGCCGGGGACCGCAAGGCCUGGCGCUAACAGAUGAGCCCAAGUCGGAUUAGCUAGUUGGUAGGGUAACGGCCUACCAAGGCGACGAUCCGUAACUGGUCUGAGAGGGCGACCGGCCACACUGGGACUGAGACACGGCCCAGACUCCUACGGGAGGCAGCAGUGGGGAAUCUUGCGCAAUGGGCGAAAGCCUGACGCAGCGACGCCGCGUGAGGGAUGACGGCCUU